GUGAAGGUGGCUCAGUGGUAGAGUGCGUGCCUAGCAUGCACGGGGCCUGGGGUUAGAUUCCUCGGUGCCACA
rnacentral:tRNA from 1 species